UAUCUCCCCACCCCCAAAUUUUUAAGCUGAAGCCCUAAUGCCUAAUACCUCAGAAUGUAACUGUAUUUGGAGACAGGGCCUUUGAGGAGAUAAUUAAAAUGAGGCCAUUAGGAUGGACCCUACUCUGACUGGUGUCAUAAGGAGGACUAACAGAAGGACAUCAGGGAUUGGAGCGCACAGAGAAAGCCCAAGGACAGCGGCGUCAGAAAUCAACCCUGCCAACACCUUGAUCUUGGGGUCUCCAGCCUCAGCCCUGGGAGGAAAAAGAUUUCUGUUGUUUCAGCCCCCAGGCUAGCAAACUAAUACAGAAGGUUAUAUCCACUUUAUAUUCUGACCACCGUUUACUAUGAUUCAGAAUGCACAAGACAGCUAAUGGAAUGUUUCUUCUCCCACCCAAAGCUUAGUGAAGAGAGGUCUUCUCCAUCAGGGUGAACAGAAAAUAAAUACGUAAAAAACCUCCAUCAGAUCCUCACUUCUUCUGAAGGCCAG